GACGAACGCUGGCGGCGUGCUUAACACAUGCAAGUCGAACGGAAAGGCCCUGCUUUUGUGGGGUGCUCGAGUGGCGAACGGGUGAGUAACACGUGAGUAACCUACCCUUGACUUUGGGAUAACUCCAGGAAACUGGGGCUAAUACCGGAUAGGAGCUCCUGCUGCAUGGUGGGGGUUGGAAAGUUUCGGCGGUGGUGGCUGGACUCGCGGGUUAUCAGCUUGUUGGGGGGGUAGUGGCUUACCAAGGCUUUGACGGGUAGCCGGCCUGGGAGGGUGACCGGCCACAAGGGGACUGAGAUACGGCCCAGUCGCGUACGGGAGGCAGCAGGCGGGAGUCUUGCACAACAGGCGGAAGCCUGAUGCAGCAACGCCGCGUGCGGGAUGACGGCCUUCGGGUUAUGAACAGCUUUCGCAGGAGACGAAGCGUGAGUGACGGUAAUGGGUAAAGAAGCACCGGCUAACUACGUG
rnacentral:rRNA from 1 species